rnacentral:rRNA from 1 species
UACGUAGGCAGCAAGCGUUUGUUCGGAGUUACUGGGCGUAAAGCGUGCGUAGGCGGUCCGCGAAGUCUGAUGUGAAAGCCCCGGGCUCAACCUGGGAACUGCAUUGGAAACUAACGGGCUCGAGUGUGGCAGAGGGGGGUGGAAUUCCACGUGUAGCAGUGAAAUGCGUAGAGAUGUGGAGGAACACCGAUGGCGAAGGCAGCCCCCCUGGGCUAACACUGACGCUCAGGCACGAAAGCGUGGGGAGCAAACAGG